GCUGGGUUGUUUUGUCAACCCAAGUGCUGAAUAACAGCUGCUGGGUAAACGUGUUGGGUUAUUCUAAUGCAGUGUUGGGUUACUCUAACUCAAUAUUGGUACAGUGGGGAACAUCUAUGCUACUCUACUGAUUGGGUUAUUAGUUAGGUUACACAAUAACCCAACUCACUGGUUUAUUGUACCCAACACUGUGUUGCCCUGCUACGUUUGAAAUCAGAGUUCCCUGCAGAUAACGUUCUUUCUGCCUGCCCGCCCUGGAAGAAGUGAACUGACCGGAGUCUUCAAUAAAAAUGAAGCUAUGAAAAAAAGGAAGGAGACGUCCAGGACUGAACAGCUGUCACCUGUCACAGUGCAGUGCACCGACUGACUGACGCUAUUUGCUUGGAUGUUGCUGAAAGAAAGGAGGCAUUCUUCAUUGUGCAGCACUAGCCUACUGUGGAGGCCGAGAGAGUUUUGACGAGGCUUCUGUACCCAGGAGGCGGAGGCAGCA